rnacentral:lncRNA from 1 species
CUUGCAGCCUCUGCGCGUGGUGUGGCAGGUGGGCUGUCUGCGUUUAUUUAUUCCUGACUUGUGAUUACUCAGAAGGGCUGCAUUUGUCACAUCCUGUCUCCUCUGUGAUGACAACAUCAACUUCAACACAGAAAAGAAGACACUCUGCAGAACGUGGGGCAGACCAUCUCAGAUUGCACAGCCAGGUUUUUGGAGAUAUACUUGAUUUUAGUUUCAAGCUGAUACCAUGACGAAUAACUGUACUG